GCGCCUAGCCCAAAGGUCAGAACUGGCAGCGAGUUCCUUGUCUGUGUUUGUUAGCAAGACUACCGUCAGAGCUGGAUAUCGGGCUGUCCUGUGCCAUCAGCACCUCGCACCACCCAGCCUCAGAGGAGCUACACACCCUCAACAGUUCACUUGUAGGCAAGCUCCUCCACAGUUUUCUUGCUGGCCAGCCUGGCAAAACACUUCUGUUUGAAGCCAUUGGAUCUGUUCACUCCAUCCCAGCACUAUCCAGUUCAGAUAUUGAAUCUACUGGCUGAGGUGCAGGACUAUUGCGCACCCUCCUCCAGCCCAGCUGCCAUCAACUCCUCCCAAAAGCUGGAUUACCAGAGCUUGACCUGGAGCUUGGCUGUGUAUCUCUGCAUCUGAUUCCAUCAAUUACUGGAUGAAGGCUCUAUGAUGCCAGUUGUGGUAUUCACCAAUCUGAUUACAGGGGAAGGCCAAUUCAGGCACCCUCUCCACUAUCGCUGGGAGUCUUAGCUGGGGUCAUUCUUAAAGGGCAUUAACCUCUAUUAAACAAUGGUAUGCUCCAUAAAGAAAAUACCAUAUGAAUAAUAAGGAAAUAUCAAUUUGAAAAAAAUAGUCUUAAUAUAAUACAAUUUCUGCUUAUAAAAUUCAUAUUUUAUUAUAAAUUAAAUGAUUGUGUUUUAGUGUAUAAAAUUUGUUUUUAUAUUUAAUUGUUUAGAUUGAAAAUACAGAUACCCAAUUAAAGUAGUCAAUAUUUGCCACAAUAUUUAGCUGUUUUUUUCAGGGAAGUCAAAAUACAAUACCUAUUUGUAAUGUAGGUUAUUUGCUAGUUAUAGUUCUAUAAUAAUUUUUAAAAAUUUUUAGUAUGUACAUAAUACUAUCAUAGCAUACAUUUUGAAUAUCAAAUUAUGGACUGUUAUACCAUUAAAUUAAUAAUUUAAAAGGUUUUGACAACAUGAAAAUUUUCAGGUAAUAUGU